rnacentral:rRNA from 1 species
GACGAACGCUGGCGGCGUGCUUAACACAUGCAAGUCGAACGGAAAGGCCCUGCGUUUGUGGUGUGCUCGAGUGGCGAACGGGUGCGUAACACGUGAGUAACCUGCCCUUCACUUUGGGAUAACUUCAGGAAACUGGGGCUAAUACCGGAUAGGAGCUCCUGCUGCAUGGUGGGGGUUGGAAAGUUUCGGCGGGUGGGGAUGGAGUCGCGGCUGAUCAGCUUGUUGGUGGGGGAGUGGCUUACCAAGGCUGUGACGGAUAGCCGGCAUGAGAGGGGGAACGGCCACAUUGGGACUGAGAUACGGCCCAGACUCCUACAGGAGGCAGCGGGGGGGAGUAUUGUACAGUGGGCGCAAGCGUGAUGCGGCAGCGCCGCGUGCGGGAUGCCGGCCUGCGGGUUGUAAACCGCUUUCGCCUGUGACGAAGCUGGAGUGACGGUACUGAAUAAAGAAGCACCGGCUAACUACGUG